CCUAAUACAUGCAAGUAGAACGCUGAAGAGAGGAGCUUGCUCUUCUUGGAUGAGUUGCGAACGGGUGAGUAACGCGUAGGUAACCUGCCUUGUAGCGGGGGAUAACUAUUGGAAACGAUAGCUAAUACCGCAUAACAAUGGAUGACCCAUGUCAUUUAUUUGAAAGGGGCAAAUGCUCCACUACAAGAUGGACCUGCGUUGUAUUAGCUAGUAGGUGAGGUAACGGCUCACCUAGGCGACGAUACAUAGCCGACCUGAGAGGGUGAUCGGCCACACUGGGACUGAGACACGGCCCAGACUCCUACGGGAGGCAGCAGUAGGGAAUCUUCGGCAAUGGGGGCAACCCUGACCGAGCAACGCCGCGUGAGUGAAGAAGGUUUUCGGAUCGUAAAGCUCUGUUGUAAGUCAAGAACGAGUGUGAGAGUGGAAAGUUCACACUGUGACGGUAGCUUACCAGAAAGGGACGGCUAACUACGUGCCAGCAGCCGCGGUAAUACGUAGGUCCCGAGCGUUGUCCGGAUUUAUUGGGCGUAAAGCGAGCGCAGGCGGUUUGAUAAGUCUGAAGUUAAAGGCUGUGGCUCAACCAUAGUUCGCUUUGGAAACUGUCAAACUUGAGUGCAGAAGGGGAGAGUGGAAUUCCAUGUGUAGCGGUGAAAUGCGUAGAUAUAUGGAGGAACACCGGUGGCGAAAGCGGCUCUCUGGUCUGUAACUGACGCUGAGGCUCGAAAGCGUGGGGAGCGAACAGGAUUAGAUACCCUGGUAGUCCACGCCGUAAACGAUGAGUGCUAGGUGUUGGAUCCUUUCCGGGAUUCAGUGCCGCAGCUAACGCAUUAAGCACUCCGCCUGGGGAGUACGACCGCAAGGUUGAAACUCAAAGGAAUUGACGGGGGCCCGCACAAGCGGUGGAGCAUGUGGUUUAAUUCGAAGCAACGCGAAGAACCUUACCAGGUCUUGACAUCCCGAUGCUAUUUCUAGAGAUAGAAAGUUACUUCGGUACAUCGGUGACAGGUGGUGCAUGGUUGUCGUCAGCUCGUGUCGUGAGAUGUUGGGUUAAGUCCCGCAACGAGCGCAACCCCUAUUGUUAGUUGCCAUCAUUCAGUUGGGCACUCUAGCGGGACUGCCGGUAAUAAACCGGAGGAAGGUGGGGAUGACGUCAAAUCAUCAUGCCCCUUAUGACCUGGGCUACACACGUGCUACAAUGGUUGGUACAACGAGUUGCGAGUCGGUGACGGCAAGCUAAUCUCUUAAAGCCAAUCUCAGUUCGGAUUGUAGGCUGCAACUCGCCUACAUGAAGUCGGAAUCGCUAGUAAUCGCGGAUCAGCACGCCGCGGUGAAUACGUUCCCGGGCCUUGUACACACCGCCCGUCACACCACGAGAGUUUGUAACACCCGAAGUCGGUGAGGUAACCUUUUGGAGCCAGCCGCCUAAGGUGGGAUAGAUGAUUGGGGUGAAGUCGUA
rnacentral:rRNA from 1 species